rnacentral:lncRNA from 1 species
AUAGUACUUGUUUAUUUCACCCUCUAGUCUAUUCCAACUCCUUCGGUAUCUUUUAACCCGUACGAGUCUUUUUCACCCCCGAAUCUAUUUCAACUCCUUGGGUAUCUUUCAACCCAUACAAGUAUAUUUCACCCUUACAUCUAAGCAUACAAUCAUAUCGGUAAGAGUCAAAAAAGACAACAAGCACAUACUAACAUAUCAACAAGUGUCAUGAGGACAACUAUCAUUCAACAAACAUAAUCCAGUUGGCCGACAUUGGUGCAUUUGACCCCCGAGUACAGUGAAGAGACUCACCUCUCAGUUGAUACUCAUAUGCCUCUACUCUCACUGCCAGAAAUACCAAUGCUACACACCACCUGUACCAUUACAAAUGGUAACCAUCGGCUCUUCUUCCAAGACUAUGAGUUUGACCAAAGUCAACUCAAGUCAGAAGUCGACGGUCAACAUUGAAUUUAGUUAACCGUCAUGCCAUGGCCAUCAAUGGCCACGUCGUGGCCUUCAUACAUCGAAACAACGACUUUUUCCUAGUCACCACUUCGUGGUGACCUAAGGCCACGUUGUGGGCACUGAGUUUCAAACAACUUAAUGGGUUAAGCCGUUUUCCUCUAUUCCAAGAGCUCUAAAGCUCAUAUAUUGUCUGAAAUAUGGUCUAGAAUGAUAAAGUUUCCAACUUUAUCAACUAGAACCACCUCAAAAGUCAAAAAUCUCAAACCCUAGUCCAAUAAGGCUAAAUUCAACAAUGUCAUAACCAUUAAGCCGUUAAUCCAAAAAGGUCCCUAACCCAACCACUCUAGAAGGGUUUCCAAUACCAAAUCUGACAUAAAGGUAGGUGCUUUAUAGACAUGCAUGUCCAAUGCAUGCCUUGAAGCCAUAAUUGGUCCAAAAUAUGGGUUUUUGAUAAAAAUCCCAUGCAUGGCUAAAAAACUCUAUUAUACUUCACAUCCAAACCCACAACCAUACCAAAUGCUCCAAAGAUUCAUAAAGUUGUAACCUUUAUGAAGUCUCACCAUUCCAACUAUCAAGAACAAGAAGAUUAUGGGCUAAAAUUUAAGAUCUAGAAAUCUAGCAUGAGAAAAAUCGAGUCUUGGACACUUAAAAAGGUCGAGAAGAGUGCUAGGAUGAAGAAUGGAGACUUGCUUACUAGAUCUUCACUUCCUUUUUCUUCUUUGUCUCUUUAAAUAUUCCAAGAGCACCAAAAUGGCUUCAAUAAUUNNNNGAUUGGCUUUUCUUUAUAAUUAAGGAGGAUGAUAGGGGCUAAGGGUAAGAAAACCCUAGCCUCUACAUUCCUUUAAAUAGGGGUCCAACCCAGAAAUCUAGGGUUUCAUUAAAAUCACCUGCCUCACUGUGGAGAGUCAUUAAACCUUACGACCAUGAAAACAAUCGCAAUGUCGUGGUGAAGAUCCACCAUGCCAUGGCCAUUCAAGAAUGAAAUUCAACAUUAACAUCUUAGCUCAUACCUGAAAUGGGUGUUACAAAUCUCCCCCACUUGAAUCAGAGUUCGUCCUCGAAGUUCGUUGUCGUAAAUAGCUUGGGGUAGUGCUCCCUCGUCUCAUCCUCGGGAUCCCAAGUCUACUGGGAACCCUUCCGGUGCUACCAAUGCACCUUCACCGGUCCUAGUACCUUCUUGUGCAAGGUCUUGGUCUCUCUGUCAAGAAUCGCCCCUGGUCUUUCCACGUAGUUCAGGUGCUUAUCCACCUGAAUAUCAUCCAAUGGUUUCAUUAUGAAGGUGUCGGCCAGGCACUUUCACGGCUGAGAGACAUGAAACGCGUUGUGAAUCUGGCUAAGUUCCUCAGGCAUAUCCAAAUGAUAUGCAACCUUUCCCACCGGGCAAUAACCAUGAAAGGACCAAUAUAUUUAGGGCCCAACUUACCCCGCUUCCUGAACCGAAUAACACCUUUCCAAGGUGACACCUUCAGGAGUACCAUAUUCCCAACCCGAAACUCCAAAUAUGAUCAACGCCUAUCAGCUAUGCACAGUUUGAAGCCUGCCGUGUACUUGCUAAAUUACCUCCAUAGUCUUGAGUACCCCCUCCGUACUCCCCAUGAAUCGCUGACCUUCCUCUCCCUAACAAAUCGGUGUCCAACACUUUCUCUCGUAAAGCAUCUUAAAGGGAGGCUGAUCAAUGUUGGCGUGGCAGUUGCUAUUGUAUGAGAACUCAGCCAACAGAAGAUUCGUAUUCCUGCUCCUUCCAAAAUAUGGCACGCACGCCCGAAACAUAUCCUCCAACAUAUGGAUAGUUUGCGCACUAUGUCCAUCAGUCUGCAGGUGAAAAGUCAUGCUAGAGUGCAGAUGAGUACCCAAAUCCUCAUGAAAUCUCAUCUAGAAUUUGGAAAUGAAACACACAUCUCGGUCCAAAACCAUUGAUACCGAGACUCCGUGACGUGCAACUACCUCACAAAUAUAGAUGUCUGCUAACUUCUCUGUCGAGAUUCUCUCCUGGAUAGGGAUAAAAUGUGUGCUCUUGGUCAAUCGAUCCACGAUGUCCCAAAUUGAAUCCACCCCUCGUGUUUUCUGAGGUAACUUUGUGAUGAAAUCCAUCAUGAUCUCUUCAUAUUUUCAUCUUCCAAACGGGAAUACCCAACCGAUCCAUUUUCCGUGGGUCCGUUGAUGCUCGGCCUUGACUUUCCUGUAAGUCAAGCACCUCUCUACAUACCAUGCCACAUCCCGCUUCACGCAGGGCCACCAAUAAUUUAUUCUGAGAUCUAUGUACAUCUUUGUCACACCUGGAUGGAGUGAAAACCUAGACUUAUGUCCCUCCUCCAUCAAUACAUUUCGUACACCGCCACAAUAUGGAACAUAAUCCUUCCGAUGUAAGGUCGUCAAUCCCCUGCUGUCAUAGUCAAAAAAGGACACCUUCCCCAUAAUGCGCUCACUCUUGCAGUGCUUCUCUUUCAUGUCUUUACCUUGAGCCCGCAAAUCUACUCCAAGACUAGGGUAAGCAUUGUCAUCCUCAAACACAAAUCUUAGAUAGGAGUACUAGCCGCCUUGCGGCUAACGACAUCGUCCACCACAUUGGGCUUCCCGGGAUGUUAAAGAAUCUCACAAACAUAAUCCUUCACCACGUCAAGAUACUAGCUCUGCUUGUUGGGUCAAAAUAUGGUUUAUACUUUGCUUUUCUGGGCAAUUAUAUUUUUAUGUAAUAUUUUAUGAGCUUUCAGUCUAGUUUACGGUCAGGUGGGGUUUACGGUUGAGUUUACGGCCGUAAACCCAUUUAAGGCCUAUGUCCACCAAGCCCAUGUCCCCCUUGUAUAAAUAUAGGUGUUAGGGUGUGAGGAACGGAUUGAUGAACAAGAGAAGAGAGAAACUAGAGAGCAUUUUGUGUGUGUGAAUCUUGUGUAAAGGAACUUUAUUCUAAUCAAUUCAUACAGAGAUUCAUAUUAUUAUUCUUCUUCUUCUCUUCUAUUUGAUCUGACAUCAUCCGUUUGUUUAGGAUUCUGCGCCAUCAAACAGAUCUGAUUGAUACACGGGCAAAUUUGGGACUUACAAUUGGUAUCAGAGCUUGGUUGUAUCAGUCAUUUUUGUUAGAUUUUGAGCAUUAUUUGAUCUUAUUUUCAAAAUAUUCUUGCGUUUUUGGAUAGAUCUGAAACAUAAGGGGGGUUUGUUCUUCGUGUUUUCAUAAAAAAGCGUUUUUGAUCGAGUUUUGGAGCUUCAAAGUCGAAAAAUCGGUGUUUUUGGUCGUAAUCAACGAGGGGGUGGCGGCCAGCAUCUAGGGUUUCCGAAGUGUUUGUGGCCGGUGUUUGCGGUCCGAGGAGUUCACGGCCUCGGUUUGCGGCCUCAGAGUUUACGGCCGGUCCGAGGUUGCGGUCAGCAGCGUGUCCGAAGUUCGCGGCCAGAAGGAGUCCUNGGACACAUCCGAGGAGUUCACGGCCUCGGUUUGCGGCCUCAGAGUUUACGGCCGGUCCGAGGUUGCGGUCAGCAGCGUGUCCGAAGUUCGCGGCCAGAAGGAGUCCUCGCAACUGCGGCCUCGCUUUGCAUUUAAAAAAAUAGGACGCGACUUUGGAGGUGCUGUGGAUCGAACCCGCGACCUCCAGCUCACAUUCCUUCAGCGCCUUACCAACUCCUCUAGGCCACAAGUUGAUACAUUCAUUCCCCAUUUAAUUCAUAACCCGUCUUUUUCGCUUCAAGUUUCGCAUUUUUUACACUUUCAGCCCAAAAUUCAAUUCCUUUUAAUUUUAAAUUCUUUUUUCAUCCAAAAUAAAAAUAAUAAUAAUAAAAAUAAUAAUAAUAAAUAAAUAAAUAAUAAAUUAAAAUAAAAUUAAUAAAUAAAAUUAUAUUUUAAUUUUUUACUUUUAUUUUUUGACUUUUGACCUUAAAUUUUGACUUUGACUUCCAAGUUUGACCUUUGACUUUAAACUUUAACUUUUUCGUUUAACUUUUAAAUUUUCAAACUUAACUUUUCGGUUUGACUUUUAAGUUUGACUUUUAAGUUUGACUUUUAAGUUUGACUUUUGAGUUUAACUUUUUAAAUUUGACAUUUAAGGUUGACUUUUAUAAUCAAAGGGUUUGACUUUUAACUUUGAUUUUGGCUUCUAGUUGUGCUUUUUAAUUGAUUUUAAGGUCUACAAGGGAGUUGAAACAUGAAAGAGAGUCGUCAGGAUAUGUUAAGACAAAAUUUCAACAUUUUUUAUUAUAUCCCUGGAGAAACCCUCGAAACUUAGUUGCAGCGAUUUACUGCACUUACUACCAAGAUGAAUAUAGCUGGGAUCUUCUUGUCUAAGUUUGAGAUAAACAAAAAGCUACUGAAUUCACUUCCGAAAUCGUGGGAUAUGAACGUGGCUAUCAUCAAGAAGACAAAAGAUCUCAGUCAUCUUAGUCUUGCUGAUGUAAUUAUAGAACUUGAUGCUUUGAAGUGUAGAAAAACAAUGAUUUCUGAAAACAUUCUGGUCAUUGAAGUUACAUGUACUUCAGCUUGUGAAAUUACGAUUAAAUUUCUUCGGGAACAAAUUGAUUUAUUAAAAAGAGAAGUUGAGGACCUGAGAUAUGAUGGAUAUCAACUCAGGAAAGGACAGAAACCCCUGAAGGCUGAAUUAGAAGCAGAAACCAAGGACUUUAGGAAACUUCAGGAAGAGUAUAGCAACAAGUGUGAAAAUUAUGACUAUAUUAAGAGACAACUUGCUGCUUUAACUGAAGAACUUGACACUUUGAAAAUUAAGUGUGGAAAAACAGACGUUAGUUUCAAAAAUUAUACUGCAUCAAGUCAGACAGUCGAGUCCUUAUUUGAAACCCAAUUAAAAUUUAAAGAUAAUCAAAACAAGAGUCUAGGGUAUGAUAGUGUUCCUCCACCUUUCAAUAAUAACUGCACAUCCAUCCCUAUGACACAUGAAGAAAAUGACAGGGAGGCACAUCUUCAAUAUGGAAAACCAUGUAGAUUUGUGUCAAGAGGUAUUCAAGUUGAAAAUACUAAUGCUUCUACUUUAUGUGUAGGUAAAGUAGCAAAAGAUGAGAACAAGGAGAAAAGCAUUGAGCAAUCCAACAUCUCCUUGAACUCAGAAUUUGUUGCUUCGAAUUCUGUUAUUCCUAACAAACCUGCCGUUGAGAAAUACAAGCCACCAAUUCCAGUGAAACAGAGUGCCUGUUGCAAGUGUACAUGUGGGAACAAUAAGAGUCAAGGCAAGGAUACGCCACCAGGGUCAGGAAGAAACAACUUCCUAGUGACGAAAAAGACUUGUCUUCACUGUGGAACAUCUAGACACAUUGCUAAAAAUUGUCCUAAUCGUGCAUAUGUUCCCUACUAUGCACGAGGCUGGCAGAACACGCCAAGAGGGAGAUUUUUCAAAAGAAACCCCUCAAGGUCACGUUCAGACCAUGAUGACUGGAAUGCGCAGAAGGCCAAGAAUUCGAAUCCCAAGGGCAAGAAGGGAAUGUUGGCCUAAAAGUCUAGUUCAAGAGAUGCUCUUGUGAAGCCAAGACUGGUUAGGUCAAAGUCAUCUCGGCAGUUGGCUUCAAGUUCCAAAUCAAGUACUGAUCCACCCAUCAGAUCGAAAAAGAAAUGGGUUAAACCCAACUACAAAUGGGUUCUGAAGGCUCAAUCUCCCAAAUCUUCUAAUGAUUCUAAUAUUUCUAUAUCUUCUGUUUGUGAUAAAUAGGACAUGUCAUGGGAGAAAGUACCUUGCGUUGAUGACAAAGGUCGACCCAGUUUCAAAAUGGACUGGGUUCCAAAGACCAACUGAUCCCGCUCUGUGCUGGAGCAGCUGUGGAGGCAUAUCAUCAGACUUCGAUUUGUUGGUAGUGGCUGCUCCUGGCAUAUGAUUGGGGACAUCUCUCAAUUGUACAACACUCAGAGCUUUGUUGAGAGUAUGUGUCCUUUUGCGGGAAAGGAAGAAAGGAAGAGAUCACAAAUGGGGUUAGUGCUUAAUGAUAUGAAGAAUUUUCGGAUCUGUUCUGAGAUUAUGCUUGUUGUUCUCAGACCUUCUGAAUGUAGAUUCAAUCUGUUCUGAGAUUAUGCUUUUUGUUUUUGGAUAGUUUAAAUUUGCGCAUUUACUUUCGUUUCUCUCCUAUGCAUAAAUUUAGGGGGAGAAAUAAAAACAAAACAAAAAUUAAAGAAAAAAUAAUUAAAAAAAAAAGAAUCCAAAAACAUUAGAAAAUCAGAAAAUAAAAAAAAUAUGGUGUUAAUGGAAUGUGCUUGCAGGAGAUGUUUUGGGAAGUGAUAUAAUCAUGUGAUAACAGGCAAUCUGAAUCUGUGUAAGGGACUGAAUCUGAAUUAUCUAGGCUCUAUGUUCGAUGCGCUGGUGAGCACGAAAGAUUUUAAAUGGACUUGACUACGAAGAUUUGAACUUAUUGAAUUUAAGGACUUGACAAACUUUGACCUAGUUAGAUUCGUUUAGCCUGACAUCACGACGCUCGGAUAGGUUGAGCAGGGAGAUAUACAUGGGAAUCUACUGGUCACAUUAAAUAGCCCGUAUCUAGAACUGUGGAUUCACUUUUCCUCGAUGUGCGGAUUCUGUCCUUAAUUUCGGUUGGAUGGGGCGACUGGUAAAAUUCCGAUAAAUUAGGUCUGUAGAAAAUCGUUUUCUUUCUGUCUGUUAGUCAUAUGUUACCUCAUCUGCAUGAUCGGGAGAUCCGACCUAGACUGUUACAUAUGCAACUAUAUUUCUCUGCAUGGUAUAUAUAUAUGAAAUUCCUCUUAUCUAUUAGCCAUAUGUUGUCUCCUUUGCAUGACUUCCAAUCCGACCUGGAACACAGCAUAUGCAACCUUCUACUUCUCAAUCCCUCUAAAACUUUAAGUAAUAGCAAUCUGAAUCUGCUCUCUCUCUGAAUGAUUGUCUACUCACCCGGUGUAAGGAGUACUCUGGAAGUUCUUGAUGGCUGGGGCAUAUCAGGAAGCGGGAAACAUGUUCUAGGAUACUUAAAUUGAACACAUACAGAUUGUUUGUAGAUCUCGCUGGUCGAUUUAGGUGGACAAUAAUAUCCCUGGUUGUAGUCAGUUAAAUGGUCUUAAGAAAAAUUUAUUUAAGAAUUUGAGCCAAUCAUGAUAAUAAAGUUACAAUUAAGAUAUAUGCAUCAUGUCAUUGGUAAAUUGUCCAAAAUUGUCACAAAUUUCUCGUAUUUAAGUGGAUCACAAUACUGGCGAUCGAUCAGAUGAAGAUGUGAAGAUAAGGGUACCGACAAGUGGAAUAAGGUUGUCUAAAAACUUUGAUCCCAAAUUACUCUUAAAGUUAGCUAUUAUUUUUGUUUUUGUUAAGUUUGUUCGUAGUGUUCUUCUAAUUUAAAUAUUAGGGGAGAAUUAAAAUUUAAAAAAAAAAAUCAAACAAAAAUCAAAAAAAUUCAAAAUAAAAAAUAGUGUUAUAUCUGUUUUACUUUUUGUUCUAAGUUUUCUUUUAGUUUUGUUUUGUCUUGAAAAGUGAUUUCAGGUGAAGAUGAAACUCAUGGAGACUGUAUUGAAGAUUUCUAAGCCAAGGCUUCAUCCGUGAGCAUCGAAGACUUCUCAUUCGAAGGAGAAAGAAAUGAAGAUUAUUCUUUCAACAUUCAAUCUUUCAACCCCGGAAGCAAGGUGAAGCUGAAAUUGAAGAUUAUGUGAUGGAUUGCAUAGAAGUCUCCUCAAUCAGUCUGCUGCUAUCUUAAACCUGCUAAAGCGAUCCAGAAGAUUAUUUCUGAUGUUCUCUCUGAAGAUUCUCAAGCUGAAAGCGCCAUCUUUCAAGAAUCAGUACAAGAAGCCUCCUCACCCAAUGUGCGUUCAGAGUCAAAUCUUGAAGAAAAGCUCAAGUGCUCAAGAUGAAGUGAUUCAUUGAAGAUUCAUCAAGUAUAUCUUGAAGUUGUGAAGAAAUCGAAGAUAAAUGCUGAAGCCAAUCUCCCAAUGAAGAUUAACAAGAAGAGCUAGCUACUUUUUAGGGGGGGCUUGUUGGGUCAAUUAAGAAAAGAAAGCUAUAAACCAAGAGUGAGAUUGUUGGGUCAAAAUAUGGUUUAUACUUUGCUUUUCUAGGAAAUUAUAUUUUUAUGUAAUAUUUUAUGAGCUUUCAGUCUAGUUUACGAUCAGGUGGGGUUUACGGUUGAGUUUACGGUCGUAAACCCAUUUACGGCCCACGUCCACCAAGCCCAUGUUCCCCUUGUAUAAAUAUAGGUGUUAGGGUGUGAGGAACGGAUUGAUGAACAAGAGAAGAAAGAAACUAGAGAGCAUUUUAUGUGUGUGAAUCUUGUGUAAAUGAACUUCAUUCUAAUCAAUUCAUACAGAGAUUCAUAUUAUUCUUCUUCUUCUUCUCUUCUAUUUGAUCUGACAUCAUUCGUUUGAUUGGGAUUCCGCACCAUCAAACGGAUCCGAUUGAUACACGGGAAAAUUAGGGACUUACAUUGCUUCAUGUUCAGAUUUGGCUGAUGCAUGAGACAUCUCAAACUCUUAUGGUCCGUGUAAAUAAUACAAAAAAACCCAUACAAAUAGUGACGCCAAAUAUUUAGGGGAAAAACCAUAGCCCCAACUCGAAAUCAUGAGUAGGAUAAUUCGCCUCAUGAGGCUUCAGCUACCUCAAAGCAUAAGCAAUCACAUGGACCCUCUACAUAAGCACUGCACCUAACCCAAUGAUCGAAGCAUCACAAUAAACCACGAAAUCCUCCAUGACCUCGGGUAGGGCCAGAAUCGGAACCUCACACAACUUUUGUCUCAAAGUAUCAAGUAUCGCAUGUUGGUCAGGCUCCCAACAAAAAGUGACAGUCUUCUUCGUCAGCUUGGUCAACAGAACUGUGAUCCCGGAGAAGUUCUCGAUGAACCUCCGAUAAUACCCUAUUAACCCAAUGAAACUCCAAAUUUUAGAUGAAAACCUUGAAACCUCCCACUACAUCACGGCCUCGAUCUUGGCCGUAUCAACCAAUAUCUCCUUCUGAUUGACAAGGUACCCCAGAAAUUGCACCUCACGCAACUAGAAUUCGCACUUGGAGAAAUUGGCAUAAAACCUCUCCCUCCUUAGAGUUUCUAGAAUUUCUCUCAGAUGAUCCUCAUGCUUCUCCUUGGUCUUAGAAUAGACCAUAAUAUCGUCAAUAACUACAAUGACAGAUCGAUCCAACAUCUGUCUACACAUGCGGUUCAUGAGAUCCAUGAACGCGGCCGGAGCUUUAGUGAGCCUUAAAUUCAUCACCAUGAACUCAUAAUGACCAUAAUGAGUCCUGAAAGUAGUCUUCCGCAUGUCCUCCUCUCUGACCCUCAUAUGAUGAUAUCCCUGCUGUAUAUCAAUCUUGGACAACCAAUAUGUGAUUUGAAGCUAAUAGAACAAAUCAUCAUUCCUCGGGAGUAGGUAACGGUUCUUCACCGUUAAAUUGUUCAACUCCCGAUAGUCGAUGUACAUCCUAUGGUGUAACGCCCGUAGAUCCGGGCUAGUCAUUCUAGAGACAAUAAGCGUCGAAAAUGACUUUUUGAUAGAAGAGUGUUUAGAAUAGAUAAUCUUAACCAAGUUGUAGUAAAUUUCACAAGGUUUACGUACAUAUAAAGAACACUGAAAUCCGAGUUAUAACGAAUAAUUUAUGACUUGUCAAAGUUUCGCGACAGAUUUGGCACGACGCUGUAGGACGUAAAUAGUGAAUUUACGAUAGAGCGAUAUUUAGCCUUAGUGAUCUAAACAAAAGUCGUAGAAUACGUUAAACCGAGAGCAUGCAUAAAAAGAACGUCCAACUCUAACUUCGUAUGAGGAAGUUAUGAUUUUUCUAUGUUUCAGCUUAGCGGUAUACAACCCAAAGUUCGAAUAUGAGAUCGAGUGGUUUCUAUCUGAAACAAUCUAAACGAGAAUCGAAGAUCUCAUUGAUAGUAGUGCAACGGAAGAAAGACAGAUGAAAACGGACGUCAGAUGAAGAAGUUAUAAAUUUCUAACGGAGUUUUCCUGUCUCGGCUUACUAAAAAUAAUAUAACAAAAAAAAAAGUCAAAAAUAGCCGACGGAGUCUAAAAGAGAGUUGUAGAUCAUAGUCUCACCUACGCGUGGAUAUAAAGCACGUCGGAAACGGAGAUUGUAUGCGAAAGUUAUGAAUUUCUGAAGUUCGAGGCACGCAUCCCAAAGAAGGAACGGCUCGCGUUCAAUUGGGGAACACCCUGCGUUUAAAACUUGGCUCCGGAGUGGCCACGUCGAUGCUGACUCAGUGGAUAAGGGAUAGGAUCGAAACCCCACUCCUACGCACCGCGUUCAAAGGGAACGCCCAGCGUUCGAGGAACACCCUGCGUUCGUGGCAGACUUCAGCACUAUAAAUAGAUCACAAGUGCAGCCGAGUUUGGUUGCCAAAUUUCUUCUCUCUCACCGAUAUUACCUCGAUUUACAUGCAAUAUAUACCCCUGAAACCCCGGUAUCAAUCCUGACACCCGAAGCCCCGAAGAUCCCGAGAAGUAAAGUUUUCGAGCCGAAACUCUGCCCGCGAGAGGCCCGGUUUCCAAGGAAGCAUCCCGGAUUCACUGAAGAAUACUACAUUUAGAGUCGUAGUGUUGUCUGAUCAUCGUAUUAUCAAGUGAUUGUGUAGUUACUUUCUUCUACCGCAUAGAUACGAAGUAUUUGCUAUGAAAUACGUGUUAUGUGUUUAUAUGUUGUUUGUUUUACUUGAGAUGGUUGUUGAAUGAAUGUUUUAUACAUGUUUUAAAUGAUUUAAACUAUAUAUGUAAUUUAUAUCUACAAAUAUGUUGGGUAGAACAUGGUAGAUGAAAUAGUUGGUGUACGAGGAAAGAUGAGUUUCAGGAUGAGACGAAAGAUGAUAUAGAUCAUGAGAUGAGGGUGACAGGUGAAAAAUGAGUGAAACCUUUACCCAAAUGAUGGCCCCCGUCAUUCAGCAGAGUAGUGAUGACAACCACGAACUAUUCUAGACAGUCCUGUGGAACACUAACAAGCUCGCAACUUGUAGGUGUUGUGGACUUGGUGUUCACCGGAGUACUCUAAAAACCCAUUGAUAUGUAUUGCUAGAGGAGUCUCGGAACCAAUACCGUCAAUAAAUGAGAUAAACCCCGGCGACUAUGGAGUUAGCGCUUAGUAACUACGGAUAUAGUGUCUGUUGAGAAAACCCUGACAACGAUGGGUUUCGUGUCGAUUACUUAGGAUAAUCCUUAAGAACAAAUGAACGAGGAAUAGUUGAUUCUUAGGAUAAUCUUUAAGAAAUAAAAAGGAGAUAAUGGGGUGGGUAAUUGGGUUGAUUGUGUGAUGAUUAAAUAUAAUAUAAUAUUUUAUUGUGGGUUGAAAACCGUAUAUGCUCACCAGGAUCCCAAGCCUGACCCACUCAAUUUUCUUUGUAUCACAAGUAUCAAUACGAAGACAUAUUUCACUAAGAGAUUAAAGGAUAUGUAAAUCAUUAGUGUAAAAUAAUGUAAGUUCUAUUUAUGCUUAUGUGUNUGAAAACCGUAUAUGCUCACUAGGAUCCCAAGCCUGACCCACUCAAUUUUCUUUGUAUCAAGGGUAUCGAUACGAAGACAUAUUUCACUAAGAGAUUAAAGGAUAUGUAAAUCAUUAGUGUAAAAUAAUGUAAUGAUUAAUCUAUCGAAACGUUGGGGAAAAAAAAAAGCGUAAAUCAUGAUUACGAUUGGUAAGUUAUUUUCUCGCAAUGUUGAACGUGUCCUAAGUUUCCUUCAAGUGGAAUGCAUGCACAUUAAAUAUUACAUAAAUAGAUUACAAAUAUCUAUAUCUAUUCAUUUACAUAGUCCGCCAAAAAUCAUAUUUUCAUAGGAAAUAUCAUAUUUUAUAAUAAAUUUAAUAUUUAUUAAACUGCAUAAACUUAAUCGAAUUCCAACUGAAAUUCUAAGACAGCAUCUAUGGCCGUAUUUGGAAUUAUUGAUCUUUACAAUUUAUUGUAACAAUAUUAGCAUUGGGCUUAGGUUAUAUCUUUUCUAGGCAUCUAGUGUACAUUAAAUUUGAAGUUAACGUUAGAAAGGUAUAAAUCAUAAAUUUACAAUUUUAAAUUGAGGUUAGAGACAAUAUGAUGCAGUUAAUAUAAUUCUAGUCGUCNUUUUUUGAGAGACAAAACAUUUGCAGUUUGCGGACCAUAUCUGCAAACAUUUGUUGUAGAAGAGGUGGACUAAACGUUUGUAGUCUGCAAGAAGAAGGUUGUUUGUUUUUUAACGUCUGCAGUCUAGUAAAAUAAACUAAAAUUUUAAUCAAAUUAUUUUUUAUACUUAAAAGACUUUUUCAACACAAAAAUUUUAAAUAAUUUUUUUUAUAACGCUAAAAUAUAAAUCAUAUAUAAAUCCUACAACCAAAAAAAAAUUUUAAAAAUUAUACAACAUUAAAACAUAAAUCUAACAUCUAAAAUCAAUUAUUUUCAAAUCAUACAAUAUUACAACACUGAAACAAAAAUCUAACCUCUAAAAUCUAUUAUUUUCAAAUUAUACAACAAUGAAAUAUGAAUCAAACCUCAAAUCUUUUUGACGUCACAUGGAAACAAAGUUGCAAUUCACGAAUCAUUCCUCACACUAGCUAGUGUUCUAAUUUCACUUAUUAUACAAAUGUUUAUAACUUAUAUACAUGUUACAAAAACAUUUCAUCAAAUAGUAACCUGAAUCCAUUAGUCAUUUGUGGUUAUAGAAUGUGAGCCUUCAUCAAAUAGCUUUCCUGCAUCCAUGAGUCACUAAUUAAUACCAAUGAACUACAAAAUAUAUGAAUUACAAGCAUUAAAACAUCAUAUAUGAAAUACUAUUCCAACAACAAUAAAGCCUAAUUUCACUUAAAACAUAAUUUCCAACGGCUAUAUACAUCUAAUUUCAAUUGAAAAUGUAAUUUUCAGCAACAAUAACAACUAAUUUAAACUAAAAUGUGAUUUCCAACAAAAAUAUAUACAUCAAAUUUCAACUAAAAUGUGAUUUCCAGCAAUAAUAACAACUAAUUUCAACAAAUCGAACAACAUUUUUCAUAUUUCAGNUAAUAACAAUUAAUUUAAGCUAAAAUGCGAUUUCCAACAAAAAUAUAUACAUCAAAUUUCAGCUAAAAUGUGAUUUCCAGCAAUAAUAACAACUAAUUUCAACAAAUCGAACAACAUUUUUCAUAUUUCAGCAAAGUAUAUACAUUUUCAGUAAAUAAAUAUGAUUUCCAUCACCUAUGAACAUCUAAUCUCAGCAAAUAAAUCCGAUUUUCAGUGAAUGUAUAUAUGAUUUUCAUGUUUCAGCAAACUAAUGUGAUUUCAGUAUCAAUAACAUCUGAUUUCUAGCAAGUACAACAAACCCUAGAAGAUACCAUUUGAUUUCAGGGAAAAUGUUCUUACCAAUGGCAAUAGAGGUCUGAGACGAUGAUGAUAGAGACACAGUGGGCAUGAUAGGUGGCGAUGGAGACGGUGGGCACGACUGGCGGCGGUGAACAGCAUGAACGAUUGCAGAGCAUAUGAGAAAUCCGGCGACAAUGAAGUGCGUAUGUGGUGCGGUCAGUCAUGAGGAAAAAGACGGUCCUAGUCUAAGCGUCGGCAACAUGAGGAGGAGGAGAGAGGUUGAAGAAGACCGAUGGAGAUAAGCAUCGAUGGAGGGGGAGGCGUAGAUGUCUGUAGGUUGUUGGAGGCACUGAGAAAAAAUAAAGCGUGUUUUUUUAGAUUAAACUGGGGUGCAGACCUUAGAAGACAUUGGUCCAUGUCUGCGCCCAGAAAACCUCGCGCAUACAUUUUUAAGUUUGUACACUUCUAAAAAACAAACAGUCUGCGAAGGUAUAUGUUUUCACGUCGUGUGCGCGGCGCAGACAGAAGUUGUCACGCAGAUCUGCAGAGAAAAAACAAACAACACCUUAGAAUUGUAAGGUUUCAUUCUAGCAAUUCUCUUCGGUUGUUGUUGGGAUGGUAAGUUUCACAGCUCAUCGGGGAAUUGCCCUUAGAAAAGAAAUCUUCGUUUAGCCAUCAUCUACGUCUAUCUUUUGUGUGUUUAGCGUGCUCGAAAUGACAAAGUUGUCAACAAAAUGUGUCUCUACUUCAAAAUUGGAGGAUAAUAUUAUCACUUUGGUGUUUAGUUGGGUAAACAUAGGAGGAAAUACGAGAACUGUAACUGGGCUAUUUGGUAUGAUUAUCCUUCAGUAUUUUGUAAUUGUUUUUGUACUUUUCUUUUUAUUGCCCAUCUCUCCUUUUAGCGGUGGCUUUUAAUAUGAUUCCGCUGUUUCAAAAAAAAAUACCAACGGUAAUUAUAACAAAUUAAUCUAACAAUCACCAAAAAUCCAUGUUAUUACUUUAAUUGCUCUAUGUAAUUUUAGAGAUGGUACAUCUCCUACCGUUGUCGUUGUUUACUAUAUAACCCUUGAUUUUGAGUUUUCCUGAUACUACAUUCACUUUUUUUGGGUUUAUCUCCAUCAUUAUUGCCUUUUUUUCUAUAAUGUUGCCCCUAUUGACAACUUCAUCGAUUGUCUAUUCUCUACCCUUCUUCGGUCGACUACAUCGCUACAUCAACUUACAUAUACUUUAUAACUGGUAUCAUUUUUAAAAGAAAUUUACAUAGUUUCUUUUAUGAGUAUAAGUUAUUAAUAUUUGAUAGGCCAUUAAUAAUUCAUUAAUUUUACUGAGUAAUAACUUCAAUUGUAGAAUAGGUAAAAUAUGAUAUUAAGUCAUUAGUUUUCUUAUUUAUUUAUUUUUUUUUUUAUGUUUGAUUUUUAGUCUUAAAUUAUAAUUAUAUUUGUCUUGUAUUCUUAUUCUUCUUUAAUUCUUAUCAAGGAAGAGGCCACCAAAUUAAAGGAGGUAUUUGUUUGCUUUUCCUUUUAAAAGUGCUAGUCUCUUCAAUAACUAUUUUAAAGAUGUUUUUAAGAAUAGGAGAAGACAAUGUUCUUUCAAAAGCUCUUUAGCUAUUUCCUUGCCAUAAAGAAAGAAUGAAUUGAUCAUCCGAACCAAUUAGUUUGAUGACUUAUUUGGUAAGAAAGAAUUAGAUACUCUUUAAGAUGAAAUGUGAUACUUACCUAAUCAAACCAGAUGCAAGGUCAAUGAUUUUGCUUAAGGGUUAAGGCUCUCGGCAUAAAGGCUCUUAUUCCUUCAGUAUUGGACUUUGAGGCCGCUCAACCCGACUCGAUAGCCUUAAUUUUUUUUAUUCUUUAGUUUUGUAAAUGUAAUUAAACUAAACAUACAUGAGUUUAAAUACUGAAUUCUUCCAUAUUAAAACAUGAAUAUAUAAAAAUCGAUUUUUUAAAGAAUUAAAGAAUUAUGAUUUAUCAAAUACUAGGUAUAACAAGUGUACUACACGGUAGACAAAUCAAAAUAAUAUUUAAUAAUAGCAAAAAUAUAGUUGUCUUAUGAAAUUAAUAUUUUAUGUCUUCAUGAAUCUAUACUUGAGAGAAUAACAAUUUAUUUUAAAUGCAAAAUAUAAGACAAAUUGAAAGUACGGUGAUGUAUAAAUAUAAGUAUUGUAUUCUAAAAGUACAUUGGUAUAAUCAAAAUGGAUUUUGUUUAUUUUACGGAAAACAACCACACAAAUAUAUAAACAGAUACAUGCACAUGGAAUAAGAUUUUGUUCGAUCAAAAAGACGAAAAUUAUGACUUAUGAAACUACAUUGAAAGAUUAAGUCAAGGAAUAAAAAAAACUAAAGGAUUAAGUUAUUAAAAUGUUUUUUUUCCAAAAUAAAUAAAUAAAUAAACAUGAACCAUUCACGUUUAUAAUAGCAAUGAGCUUUCAAUGUACAUUGUUGCUUUAGGGUAUUUUGCAAAAUAACUUAUUUAUUUUACAAUGCUAUAUUUGAUAAUUUCUUUCUCAAAUAUCUAGAAAACUUUUGACAUGGUGAAAAAAAAUCAUCUUAUAAAGUACAAUGCUAUAAAAUGAUUACUUCUGGAAGUACAAUGUUAUAUUUGAUAGUACUUGUUUAUUUCACCCUCUAGUCUAUUCCAACUCCUUCGGUAUCUUUUAACCCGUACGGGUCUUUUUCACCCCCGAAUCUAUUUCAACUCCUUGGGUAUCUUUCAACCCAUACAAGUAUAUUUCACCCUUACAUCUUAGCAUACAAUCAUAUCGGUAAGAGUCAAAAAAGACAACAAGCACAUACUAACAUAUCAACAAGUGUCAUGAGGACAACUAUCAUUCUACAAACAUAAUCCAGUUGGCCGACAUUGGUGCAUUUGACCCCCGAGUACAGUGAAGAGACUCACCUCUCAGUUUAUACUCAUAUGCCUCUACUCUCACUGCCAGAAAUACCAAUGCUACACACCACCUGUACCAUUACAAAUGGUAACCAUCGGCUCUUCUUCCAAGACUAUGAGUUUGACCAAAAGUCAACUCAAGUCAGAAGUCGACGGUCAACAUUGAAUUUAGUUAACCGUCAUGCCAUGGCCAUCAAUGGCCACGUCGUGGCCUUCAUACAUCGAAACAACGGGCUUUUUCCUAGUCACCACUUUGUGGCGACCUAAGGCCACGUUGUGGGCACUGAGUUUCAAACAACUUAAUGGGUUAAGCCGUUUUCCUCUAUUCCAAGAGCUCUAAAGCUCAUAUAUUGUCUGAAAUAUGGUCUAGAAUGAUAAAGUUUCC